CUCCUGUGGCUUUCCUGUUUCCACGGGAUGAAGUUCAGUGCCUGCCUGUCGUUGGGAGACCCUUUAUAAGCCUGUCCCGACUUACCCAUCCAAGGCAAGAUGCGUUCCGUCCUGCAGCACACAGCUGGUGGAAAAGGAAGCUGGGAGAAUAGCAGGGUGAUCCAGCAAAGUCAAGUGUAAUAAGCCCUUGACGGUUUUCCUGGGGCCUGACCCCCCUAUCGUCCUGAAGUUGCCGCGUUCGUCCAGUACUUCUGAUGACCAGGUUUUAUGUAUCCCUGGCCAAGCAUGACCUUGGAAUUCUGAUGUUUCUGCCUUUACCUGUCUACAUGGACUGCCAUGUCUGCUCUUUGCAGUGCUGAGGACUGAGCCUGAGGGCUUGCUCAUAGAAGAAAAAGAAAGCUGGACCCUCACCUUUAGGGAUCAACCUCGAAUCAUAAACAGGACCAGUUUGGAGCAGGUGACAGUACAGUGCACCGCAGGACUAAUGGCUGAGGACCGGGCUGGGACGGAAAGCAAAACAGCAACAGCAGAGAGUUGGUGGCGUGUGAUGAAGGGGAGAAAGUUACAAAGCUGUCCUCACAAAUUCCUACCAGGCUUAGACAUGGCACCAAGUUGAAAGGCUACCAUCUGACCUAGAAGAAUGUUUUCUGUUUCUAGUUUAAUUUUUGUUUGUUAAUUUGUUUUGAGAAAAAUUCCUCAAGGAAAAAUUCCUCAAGGUCUCAUGUGUUAACGUAGAUGGCCCAGAAUUGGCUUUGUAUGCUAGGCUGGCCUCAAACAUAAGAGAUCUGCCUACUUCUGUCUCUGGGAUGCUUCAAUUA